rnacentral:rRNA from 1 species
GAUGAACGCUGGCGGCGUGCCUAAUACAUGCAAGUCGAGCGAACAGACGAGGAGCUUGCUCCUCUGACGUUAGCGGCGGACGGGUGAGUAACACGUGGAUAACCUGCCUAUAAGACUGGGAUAACUUCGGGAAACCUGAGCGAAUACCUGAGAAUAUAUUGAACCGCAUGGGUCAAUAGUGAAAGACGGUUUUGCUGUCACUUAUAGAUGGAUCCGCGCCGCAUUAGCUAGUUGGUAAGGUAACGGCUUACCAAGGCAACGAUGCGUAGCCGACCUGAGAGGGUGAUCGGCCACACUGGAACUGAGACCCGGUCCAGACUCCUACGGGAGGCAGCAGUAGGGAAUCUUGCGCAAUGGGCGAAAGCCUGACGGAGCAACGCCGCGUGAGUGAUGAAGGUCUUCGGAUCGUAAAACUCUGUUAUUAGGGAAGAACAAAUGUGUAAGUAACUAUGCACGUCUUGACGGUACCUAAUCAGAAAGCCACGGCUAACUACGUG